UACGUAGGGGGCAAGCGUUGUCCGGAAUCAUUGGGCGUAAAGAGCUCGUAGGCGACCUGUCGCGUCCGCUGUGAAAUCCCGGGGCUUAACCCCGGCGUGCAGUGGAUACGGGCUGGCUGGAGGCAGGCAGGGGAGAACGGAAUUCCCGGUGUAGCGGUGAAAUGCGCAGAUAUCGGGAGGAACACCGGUGGCGAAGGCGGUUCUCUGGGCCUGUACUGACGCUGAGGAGCGAAAGCGUGGGGAG
rnacentral:rRNA from 1 species